GUGAAAUUCACUUUCAAAUGCACUUUCUAUCCAUGUAAACUUGGCAGUGAUUCAUACACUUGCUUCCUCUAGUGACUAGAUCCAGCCCUCUAUGCGUGCUAUAGCAUUCGACUCAUUCUACAACUUUAUCAACUGACUUAAUGCUGUGCCUAAACUCUGCUAAGUGAAUUGCCAACAUUCCUGAUACAUCAGAUGUGUUUUUUGGACUUAAAAGACAUAAUUUGCUUAUUUUAAACUGGUAUCCAAGAAGAUGUGCAGUGCUAGAGGUAACAGGUUCUGCAGCUGUCAUUCUCACUUUAUUAUCUAGGGAGACACUGCAUUGGAACCAGCAUGUAAGAAGGGAGUUCAGAUUUUAACGGCUACAUGAGAUAGUGAAGACGGGAUCAGAAUGACAGACCUUGAACCUGCAGCGUUCUCUUAAGAAUAUCCAUAAUUCAAGCUGAUACACACUGUAUAUGGUUAAAUAAUGCUUAUCACCUGAAAGUCUGCUAAUCAGCCAAAUAAUUUCUUUAUAUCUUCACCCCACAAUCAAAAGCGAUGUACUAUUUUUUUUUUUUGCUUUAUAAAUAAAUGCAGUAAACCCAGAAAACCCAGUGAGGUUGUUAUCCAUUAUGUAGCAAUGUUAUAACACUUUAUGUGAUGGUAUUGUGUGUAGUGUGAUGACAUGACAACAUUGAGUACUUGAACAUUAAAAUAUGACAAAACAAGGAACUAUUUAAAAUUCUGGCAGUAAUUUUCUUAGGGUGUAUCUAAUAAAAUAUAAGUAGUUUUAUCAUUUCAGUGUAAACAUUGUAUGCUUCAGGGCACUGUGCAGAACAGAAUUGCGAAAGUGCAAAAAGACGGGCAUAGCAAGUCUGCCAAUAUUCUACAUAAAUUAAGCUUUUUGUGUAGAAAUGUGUGCAGACGCAUUGCAUGCAUGCCAAGGAGUGCUGGCGUUUGGGUGUGCAUGCCUAAUACCAGAACUGGCCCCCAAACACCAUAUUUAGGAAAGGAAGCAGUGACAGUAGAUAGCUGGAUGAUCUUCAGCUUAUCAGUGCUGUUUUUUCCUGUGUACCCUAUAUUAUCAUGAUUCCUCGUUACCGACUUGAUCUGACCUCUCAUUGUUACCCCAUGUCUUGUAAAGGACUCUGCCUCUUCUGACCCCCCAUGUAUAACCUUGGCUUGCCUCCUGACCUUUCUGCUGUCUUCUGCUCCUGAUUCCUGUGCAUGACUGUUCCUGACUAUGCUCCUGCCUUGCAUCCUACUGAUCUCUCGUAUUUGACCCUGACUUGGAUCCAGACCUUGACUAUGCUUCUCUAGUCCCACCGUACUGGUCUAACUCUGCUCCUUCCAUGGGUGUCAGAACGCCCCUUGCUGCCACACCGGGGGUGCUCUUCCACAACAGUUUCUUGUGUUCCUGCCAUCACUCCUGACAGUCUGCCAGAGAAUCACUUAGCUGGGGACUUCCUGAAGUAGAUCUUAGUAGACCAGCCUAAAUGGCAUCUGUGCUUCUGUGAGCCUUGCACUCCCUGUCAUCACCUCCAGGGGUGCUAGGACCUUAGUCACAAGGGAAGCCCUAUUGUCACCUUGGCCUCCAACCAGGUAUAUGGCAGUAUGCAUUUAAGUUAAGAAAUGUUUAGAAAUUCCCCUAAAACUAACCUUUAUCUAUUCAUGAUGUUGUAGUGAUUCACACAAUUAUCUGAGCAAGUUAGGUACCAAAUGGAAGGCAUUCAUUCAUGAAUGACCUCUGCUAGUGAAUCCAAAUAACACUUUUUGUUGGAUCCAUUAAUUCAGAGUAUUAUGGUAAGCAUCCACCUCUUGGCAUCUCAUGCUGUGUUGUGGGAGGACAGACGGAAUUAACUCAAAGGUGUUUAGUAGUAAUGAGUCCUUUGUUUUAUGAAGAUCCGGCAACUACAGAAAUCCUCUUUAAAGACUUUAUUGUAGAUAAAGGAAAUACAUGCUAACGUGUUUCGGCUGAAAGAGGGUUUCUGAAGUUCCUGGCUCUUCCUACUACUUUCAUGCAUCCAGUAAUUGGAGAACACUUUUGGAGCUAGAACACCUAUGUUUGGAUUCCAUUCAUUUAUGCAGGGUGUGUUCCCUUUGAGAUCUAUGGCUUUGUCUCUUUUGCUUGUCCCUAUUGUUUUAUGCUUUCACAAAUUACACUUUCAGCUUUUAUAUCUUUGUUGUUCUCUCAUGUUAGAUGGAAUACCUAUAUUUCAUAAACAGACGAAUCUGAGGCUGUGUUUUCAGUGAUGGGUGGUUUAUAUUUCAGUGAUCCUAUUAUUAGUUCAUGCCCACUUGGAUGCUUUCCUGUGCAUAUCAGGGAUAAAAGCAUUUGUGGAAAUUUAAAUUCAUAGAUUUCUGGCUAA